AUUGAACGCUGGCGGCAGGCCUAGCACAUGCAAGUCGAGCGGAUGAAGGGAGCUUGCUCCUGGAUUCAGCGGCGGACGGGUGAGUAAUGCCUAGGAAUCUGCCUGGUAGUGGGGGAUAACGUCCGGAAACGGGCGCUAAUACCGCAUACGUCCUGAGGGAGAAAGUGGGGGAUCUUCGGACCUCACGCUAUCAGAUGAGCCUAGGUCGGAUUAGCUAGUUGGUGGGGUAAAGGCCUACCAAGGCGACGAUCCGUAACUGGUCUGAGAGGAUGAUCAGUCACACUGGAACUGAGACACGGUCCAGACUCCUACGGGAGGCGGCAGUGGGGAAUAUUGGACAAUGGGCGAAAGCCUGAUCCAGCCAUGCCGCGUGUGUGAAGAAGGUCUUCGGAUUGUAAAGCACUUUAAGUUGGGAGGAAGGGCAGUAAGUUAAUACCUUGCUGUUUUGACGUUACCAACAGAAUAAGCACCGGCUAACUUCGUG
rnacentral:rRNA from 1 species